rnacentral:rRNA from 1 species
CAUGCAAGUCGAACGGUAACGCGAGGAGCUUGCUCCUUGGCGACGAGUGGCGGACGGGUGAGUAAUACUUAGGAAUCUGCCCAGUAGUGAGGGACAGCUCGAGGAAACUCGAGCUAAUACCGCAUACGCCCUACGGGGGAAAGCGAGGGAUCUUCGGACCUCGCGCUAUUGGAUGAGCCUAAGUCGGAUUAGCUUGUUGGUGGGGUAAAGGCCUACCAAGGCGACGAUCCGUAGCUGGUCUGAGAGGACGAUCAGCCACACUGGGACUGAGACACGGCCCAGACUCCUACGCAGCAGUGGGGAAUAUUGGACAAUGGGGGCAACCCUGAUCCAGCAAUGCCGCGUGUGUGAAGAAGGCCUGCGGGUUGUAAAGCACUUUCAGUAGAGAAGAAAAGCUUACGGUUAAUAGCUGUGAGUCUUGACGUAACCUACAGAAGAAGCACCGGCUAACUCCGUGCCAGCAGCCGCGGUAAUACGGAGGGGGCUAGCGUUGUUCGGAAUUACUGGGCGUAAAGGGCGCGUAGGCGGAUUGUCAAGUCAGAGGUGAAAGCCCUGGGCUCAACCUGGGAACUGCCUUUGAAACUAACGGUCUAGAGUCCGAGAGAGGAUGGCGGAAUUC